rnacentral:rRNA from 1 species
ACGAACGCUGGCGGCAUGCCUAACCCCUGCAAGUCGAACGAGACCUUCGGGUCUAGUGGCGCACGGGUGCGUAACGCGUGGGAACCUGCCCUUAGGUUCGGAAUAACUCCCCGCAAGGGGUGCUAAUACCGGAUAAUGUCUUCGGACCAAAGAUUUAUCGCCUUUGGAUGGGCCCGCGUUGGAUUAGCUAGUUGGUAGGGUAAAAGCCUACCAAGGCGACGAUCCAUAGCCGGUCUGAGAGGAUGAUCAGCCACACUGGGACUGAGACACGGCCCAGACUCCUACGGGAGGCAGCAGUGGGGAAUAUUGGACAAUGGGCGAAAGCCUGAUCCAGCAAUGCCGCGUGAGUGAUGAAGGCCUUAGGGUUGUAAAGCUCUUUUACCCGGGAUGAUAAUGACAGUACCGGGAGAAUAAGCUCCGGCUAACUCCGUG